rnacentral:rRNA from 1 species
AAUAGAUACCCUGGUAGUCCACGCCCUAAACGAUGUCAACUAGCUGUUGGGGCCUUCGGGCCUUGGUAGCGCAGCUAACGCGUGAAGUUGACCGCCUGGGGAGUACGGUCGCAAGAUUAAAACUCAAAGGAAUUGACGGGGACCCGCACAAGCGGUGGAUGAUGUGGAUUAAUUCGAUGCAACGCGAAAAACCUUACCUACCCUUGACAUGUCUGGAAUGCCGAAGAGAUUUGGCAGUGCUCGCAAGAGAACCGGAACACAGGUGCUGCAUGGCUGUCGUCAGCUCGUGUCGUGAGAUGUUGGGUUAAGUCCCGCAACGAGCGCAACCCUUGUCAUUAGUUGCUACGAAAGGGCACUCUAAUGAGACUGCCGGUGACAAACCGGAGGAAGGUGGGGAUGACGUCAAGUCCUCAUGGCCCUUAUGGGUAGGGCUUCACACGUCAUACAAUGGUCGGGACAGAGGGUCGCCAACCCGCGAGGGGGAGCCAAUCCCAGAAACCCGAUCGUAGUCUGGAUCGCAGUCUGC